rnacentral:rRNA from 1 species
UGCUCGGAAUCAUUGGGCGUAAAGCGCGCGUAGGCGGUCGGCUAUGUCGGAUGUGAAAGCCUCGGGCUUAACCCGAGAAGGGCAUCCGAAACUGGCCGGCUUGAGUACGGAAGAGGGUCUCGGAAUUCCCGGUGUAGAGGUGAAAUGCGUAGAUAUCGGGAGGAAUACCAGUGGCGAAGGCGGCCUUCUGGACGGAUACUGACGCUGAGGCGCGAAAGCUAGGGGAGCAAACGGG